CAUCCUACCGUGCUCUGUGUUCCCCCAUGAGUCAGUGCCUUGUUUCAGGGUCAAGGUGUAUCAGCAAAGAGAAGAGGUCAGCUCACUCUCAAGGGAGACAAGAACAAAAGGGGUCUGCAGUCUUAUGAACCCUGAGGCUGGAGGGAGGAAGCAGAGAGAGGAUUAGGAGUAGAAAAUUACUGAGUACUGAGUUAGAAGGAGAAAAAAUGUCUUCGAGUCUACCUCUCCUCAAUAAAGAGGUCUGAGUAGAGGCAACUUACAAAGGCCUCAGCGAAAGGCCACAAAUAAAGAGGGCUCCACCUGAGGACACUGGGGUCAAGAACACAGCUGUAUAAGUUUAAGAGCUUGGCCCACCAGUUGCAGUUGCCUGAAACUCCCUUCAGAAACUGUAAUUCAUUCUGUCCGCACCAAGUCAGCUGUGACAAAGCCAGCUCUCCCCGAGGCCUGCCAGGUUGGAGAGGAUGUGGAGAGAAGGAAACCCUCGUACACUGCUGGUGGGAGUGAAAACUGGUGCAGCCACUAUGGAAAGCAGUAUGGAGUAUCCUCAGCAAAUUAAGAAUAGAUCAACCAUAUGAUCCAGCUAUCCCACUGCUGGCCUUUCAAAUAUCGUUCCAUUUUCUGCAGGCCUUAAUUAUUUCUGAUAAGGGCAAUGGUGAAGGCAUGCAUAUCCCAACUGACCUCUUGGAUUACAUCUUGAUAAAAAGUAACAGUGUUUUACCACCACACUUCAUGCCACAGGUAAUUUCCUUUGGAUCCUUAGAGAGUCCAGCAAUUUUAUAUUUUUCACUUGAGGGAGCCACUUCUGGUAUUAAAAC
rnacentral:lncRNA from 1 species